UCCUCAUAAUUCAUCAUUCACAACUUGCCAAUUUGCAAACAAAACAACUCUUCAUUUGGUUCAGAGAAACAUAAAAACCAGAAGUCAGCAACAAUUCAUCGUCGCCGGAGAAGACAAUUACGUACAAGUUAAAAGUGCUUAAUUAAGACGUACAUAAAUAGUUGUCUAAAGAUGGAAAGAACAGCAACAUACGAGAAGGAUCUCAAUCUUGAGGCAACUGAACUAAGAUUAGGUUUGCCUGGAAUAAAUGAACCAGAGAAACAAUCUUCUUCUGCUUCUACUAGUGCUAAAUAUAGCAAGAAAAGAACAUCAUCAGAGAUGGAUAACUCAUCUAGUGGAAAGGAAAAUGAACAAGACUCAGCCCCAGCACCAAAAGCACAAGUUGUGGGCUGGCCACCAGUUAGAUCUUACAGAAAGAAUGUGUUACAAGUCAAGAAAUCCGAGUCUGAUAAUUCGUCUGGGAUGUACUUAAAAGUUAGCAUGGAUGGAGCACCUUACUUGAGGAAAAUUGACCUUAAGGUUUACAAAAGCUACCCGGAGCUACUCAAGGCUUUACAAAACAUGUUCAAGUGCACUAUUGGAGUAUACACAGAAAGAGAAGGAUACAAUGGAUCUGAAUAUGCACCAACAUAUGAAGACAAAGAUAGAGAUUGGAUGCUAGUUGGAGAUGUACCAUGGGAUAUGUUCAUUAACUCUUGCAGAAGGCUUAGAAUUAUGAAAGGAUCUGAAGCUAAAGGUUUGGCAUGCCUAUAGGUUGUGGACAUAUAGGCCUUCAAAUUAAAAUGGAAAAGGAUCCCUCAUAAGAAGCAACAGCUUAUAAUUGGGAUUUUCAAGAAACAUGGAAAUACAUACAGAUCUUGGAUGAACAAGAGAAAGACAAGGCUGAGGACUUUGAUCUGUAUGAUUUCAGUUUUGUAACAGCUAGCCCAGCAACGCCUAUACAGUUGCAUGGGAUAGAUCUAGAUCUUAGAUUGUACACAAAGUUCUCUUUUUUUCCUGUACUUUUUUCGAAGAAUCUACUUUGUAUUAUUUACGAUAGGAGUAUAUAUAUAUACAGGAAACAAAAUUUAGCAAAGAGCA